rnacentral:rRNA from 1 species
GGUCCUGGUCUUUCUAUCAACUGUUUUCCGAUUUACACAUGCAAGUAUCCGCACGACCGUGAGAACGCCCUCUAACCUCUACCAGACUGAGGAGCCGGUAUCAGGCACAGAUCUCUCGCCCACAACACCUAGUCUUACCACACCCCCAAGGGUGAUUCAGCAGUGAUAAAUAUUGUGCAUAAGCGACAGCUUGACUCAAUCAGGAACAACAGAGCUGGCCAAUACGGUGCCAGCCGCCGCGGCUAAACCGCUCAGGCUCAAGUUGAUAGUCUUCGGCGUUAAGCGUGGUUAAAGGUUGCUUCCACUAGAGUUAAGCAGAAAUUUAGCUGCGGUAAGCUUAUUAACGAGUAAAAUUAAAAACGAAAGUUACUCUAUUACCCCCUACCCUUGAAUCCACGACAGUUAGGGUACAAACUGGGAUUAGAUACCCCACUAUGCCUAACCGUAAAAAUUAAUUUACACCACCCGCGCCAGGGUAUUAUAAGCUAAGCUUCAAACCCAAAGGACUUGACGGUGUCCCAUCCCUCUAGAGGAGCCUGUCCUGUAACCGAUGAUCCGCGUUUUACCUUACCGCCUCUUGCUUAAAAGCUCUGCUUAAAGCUCUUGCUUAAAGCUCUUGCUUAAAGCUCUUGCUUAAAAGCUAUGCUUAAAGCUCUUGCUAAAGCUCUUGCUAAAGCUCUUGCUAAAGCUCUUGCUAAAGCUCUUGCUAAAGCUCUUGCUAAAGCUCUUGCUAAAGCUCUUGCUAAAGCUCUUGCUAAAGCUCUUGCUAAAGCUCUUGCUAAAGCUCUUGCUAAAGCUCUUGCUAAAGCUCUUGCUAAAGCUCUUGCUAAAGCUCUUGCCUCAGCCUGUAUACCUCCGUCGCAAGCUUGCCAUAUGAAUGACAGCAUAGCACAGCUUAAUGAUACUUACACCAAUACGUCAGGUCAAGGUGCAGCUUAUGAAGCGGGCAAAGAUGGGCUACAAUUUCUAUGAUAGAACAAACGGAACAGCUAGAUGAAAACUACUGUUGAAGGUGGAUUUAGUAGUAAAAAGAAAAUAGAAUGUUCUUUUUAAUUCUUGGCCCUGGGACGCGUACAGACCGCCCGUCACCCUCUUCGAUAGCUUUACUCAAUGUUCGUAACCAACUUUUCGCGCCUUAGAAGAGGCAAGUCGUAACAUGGUAAGUGUACUGGAAAGUGCACUUGGAUAAUCAAAAUGUAGCUUAACAAAAGUAAUUCGCUUACACCGUAAAGAUGUCCCUUAACUGGGGCCAUUUUGAGCCUAAAAUCUAGCCCAACCCACCACAUGUAAAAACCCCUAAUACUCAACAAAAUAAAACAUUUUAUCUUUUAAGUAAGAGUGACUGAAAACUUUUUAUGGAGCAAAAGAACCAGUACCGCAAGGGAAUGAUGAAAUAGUAUUGAAAUAAUCUUAAAGCAACAAAAAGCAGAGCCUUCACUCGUACCUUUUGCAUCAUGAUCUAGCUAGUUGACUCUAGCAAAACAAAACUUUUAGUUAGACCCCCCGAAACUGAGUGAGCUACUUUAAAAUAGUUUCCAAGAACUAACCCGUCUCUGUCGCAAAAGAGUGGGAAAAUUUUUAAGUAGAGGUGAUAAGCCUACCGAACUCAGAGAUAGCUGGUUGUUCAGGAAAAGAAUUUUAGUUCUGCCUUAAGACUCCCUAUUACAAAAAACAAUAAUUAAGUCUUAAGACUUAUUUAAACAAGGCACAGCUUGUUUGAAAUAGGACACAACCUAAAAAAUAGGGUAAACUCCAAAUCCAUAAACUAAGUGGGCCUAAAAGCAGCCAUCUUUAAAAAAGCGUUAAAGCUUACUUACAUCUAACUUACAAAUCCCACAAAUAAACUUCAACCCUUUAUUACUACUGAACAAUUUCAUAAAAAUAUGAAAUCUAUCCUGCUAGAACUAGUAACAAGAAAGCGACUUUCUCCUAAAUAUAAGCUUACACCAACAUUGACCUACUAUUGGUAUUCAACGUUACUGACUUCACUAUAAUAACUAACCCAAGCAAACUUUACAAUCCCCAACGUUACCCUAACACAAGAAUAUUUUAGGAAAGAUUAAAAGAGAAAGAAGGAACUCGGCAAGAUAUUGACCCCGCCUGUUUACCAAAAACAUCGCCUCCUGAGUAAGAUAGGAGGUCCAGCCUGCCCAGUGACUUUGUUCAACGGCCUCGGUAUUCUGACCGCGCGAAGGUAGCAUAAUAACUUGUUCUUUAAAUAGGGACUAGUAUCAACGGCAUCACGAGGGUUACCCUGUCUCCUCUCUCUAAUCAGUGAACCUGACCUCUUCGUGAAGAGGCGAAGAUAUAUAUAUAAGACGAGAAGACCCCAUGGAGCUUAAAACAUAGAAACAACUUCUUUACCACAAACCCUAAAAAAAUAAGAAAACCUGUUAACUAGUUUUCGGCUGGGGUGCCCAAGGAGAAUAACCCAACCUCCCUGACGAUCUAUAUUCAAGAGCAACAACUCGAAGAAACAAUAAAUUGACGUAAAAUGACCCGAUUUUAUUAAUCGAUCAACGAACCAAGUUACCCUGGGGAUAACAGCGCAAUCCAUUUCAAGAGCCCCUAUCGACAAAUGGGUUUACGACCUCGAUGUUGGAUCAGGGUAUCCUGGUGGUGCAGCAGCUACUAAAGGUU